rnacentral:piRNA from 1 species
UCUAGCCUUUCGUGUCUAUGUCCUUU